AUUGAACGCUGGCGGCAGGCCUAACACAUGCAAGUCGAGCGGAUGAGGGGAGCUUGCUCCCUGAUUUAGCGGCGGACGGGUGAGUAAUGCGUAGGAAGCUGCCCGAUAGAGGGGGAUACCAGUUGGAAACGACUGUUAAUACCGCAUAAUGUCUACGGACCAAAGUGUGGGACCUUCGGGCCACAUGCUAUCGGAUGCGCCUACGUUGGAUUAGCUAGUUGGUGAGGUAAUGGCUCACCAAGGCGACGAUCUCUAGCUGGUUUGAGAGGAUGAUCAGCCACACUGGAACUGAGACACGGUCCAGACUCCUACGGGAGGCAGCAGUGGGGAAUAUUGGACAAUGGGCGCAAGCCUGAUCCAGCCAUGCCGCGUGUGUGAAGAAGGCCUUCGGGUUGUAAAGCACUUUCAGCGAGGAGGAAGGGUGGUGUGUUAAUAGCACAUCAUUUUGACGUUACUCGCAGAAGAAGCACCGGCUAACUCUGUGCCAGCCGCCGCCGUAACAC
rnacentral:rRNA from 1 species